GUCUCGGUGGUGUAAUGAUAGAGCACGCGUCCCUGGAUAGGGAGAAACGCGGGUUCCAUCACCGCCUGAGGCG